rnacentral:lncRNA from 1 species
GGUCCAAAUGUUUUAACCUGGGCUCUGAGCAGAUCACUCAUACCAAUUAGACUGUAAAAAGAAUCCAAAGAAGCCCGGAAAAAAGUCAUGGAGCACACUCCAGUGGCCAAAACGGCAAACAGAAUUUUGAUGGCAUAUGUGAGAUCUGCCCGUUGUGUUGUGUGCAGCUCCUAUACAAUCUAAAUGGUUGUGGCUUAGCCAAUUCCCUAAGGAUGUGUUUUGGGUAAUGACCGUCUUUGUGUAGGAGUGCGUGGAUGCCUGGAGGAUGGUGGAGGUCUCUGUGUAGUCCGGGAGCUGAUGGGUCGAAGUGUGGUGCUGGAGGACUUCUGUGCCGAUCUCCGGGCGUGAGGCUGCGCUGUGGAUGUUUUGUCCUCCACCGAUUGGGGGUUUGGACGCAGAUUUUCCUCCUCAGACUGGCCUGUGCUGAAUAUGGAUCUGGAGUGGGUCCUCCGUUCCCUCUGGGGUUUUGGAGAAGGCAGCGCGUCAGUAAGGAUGGAGAGAGCGGGAGACCCUGGUGAGGGGUGGGAGGACAGGUGAGGAUCGUCAUCAUCUCCUUCAUCAUCCUUCUCCCCAUCAUCACAAGGAUGAUGAUGAUGAUGAUGAUUGUUGUUAUUAUGUUCUUCAUCCUGUUCCUCCUCCUCAGCUAUACUCUUCUCUUCUUCCGGUUGUUGGAGGGGGAGGGGGGGCCCAUCUCCGCCCCUCAGGUCAGUCAUGGUGCCUAUGGAAGCCGUGGUCGCUGGUCGAGGUGGGAGAGGAGAUGCAGUACUGACUGCAGCAGGAACCUGGAAUAAGUGGGGAGCAAACAUUCUCCCAAGGGGGACGAGGGGAGCAGCCAGGGGACGCGGAGACCCACCAGACCCACCUGCAGGCACUGGCUGGGUUAGAAAAGAAAAGAUUGGAUCCCGCCAUCCCGAAGGGAUGGAGGGAUCAGAUGCACUCUCCAUCCAGGGACCUGGAACGAGUUGGGAGGAAACAUUCUCCCAAGGGGGACGAGGGGAGCAGCCAGGGGAAGCGGAAACCCACCAGACCCACCUGCAGGCACUGGCUGGGUUAGAAAAUAAAAGAUUGGAUCCCCCCAUCCAGAACAGAUGGAGGGAUCAGAUGCACUCUCCAUCCAGGGACCUGGAACGAGUUGGGAGGAAACAUUCUCCCAAGGGGGACGAGGGGAGCAGCCAGGGGAAGCGGAAACCCACCAGACCCACCUGCAGGCACUGGCUGGGUUAG